rnacentral:rRNA from 1 species
AUUGAACGCUGGCGGCGGGCUUUACACAUGCAAGUCGGACGAGUGGCGAACGGGUGAGUAACGUAUAGGAACGUACCAAGUAAUGGGGGAUAAAUGUGAGAAAGGACAGCUAAUACCGCAUAGUCUACGAGGGGCAGAUGUCUGAUGAGAUGGUUGGCGGGGUAAAGGCUCACAAAGGCGAAGCUCAGUAGGGGGUCUGGGAGGAUGACCCGCCAAACGGGGACUGAGACACGGCCCAGACUCCUACGGGAGGCAGCAGUGGGGAAGUUUGGACAAUGGGCGCAAGCCUGAUCCAGCCAUGCCGCGUGUCUGAAGAAGGCCUUCGGGUUGUAAAGGACUUUUGUCAGGGAAGCGUUACCUGAAGAAUAAGCACCGGCUAACUACGUGCCAGCAGCCGCGGUAAUUC